CUACAUUCAAGCCAAGGAGCUUGAGCUUAGUUUCAGACUGAAACAGUGUUUCAGGAUUCUGCAUUUUACUUUAUAUACAUUUUGAAGUAACUCAAAAUGAGAAAAAAGAAUAAGCUUCCACAACUGAGUUUUGGACCAUUUCACGUUCCACUUCAAUUGGUGUAAAGAAUAUUCAUGAGGAGAAAAUGAAUGUGAGGAGGAUUGGCAACAGGACUGCCUUACAGAAAGUACAGCUUCACAAGCCUUUCCACCAAGCUCCUCACUUAACUCUACCCACACAGACCAGUGGGACCCACCUAGCUCACUCUACCCAAGAUCCUCCUGUGUCUUAAUGGAGACACUAUAAUAGCAGUAUCUAGCUUUUCCAAAGGGGAAGGAACUUAGUAUUUUUGGUUCAUUUUUGUUGCUGUUGUUGCAUGUGAGGCUAAAUGCAGAUAUUUGUGCUGCUGGCAACAUCUUAGGAAGUGAUUUAACCCACUUGCAUAGCCAGGCAUAAUUUAUCAUGUGGCCCUGUGACUUUAACCCUAUUUGUUUCUUCCUUCCGAUUAUUUCAAUCAUGUUUGUGUAUUAAUGACUUAGGGCAUAGCUUUAUUAUUUCAGAGGCUCUGAAGUCCUGCUUGAUUUUUCUAACUCAGAACCUAGCUUUCUCUCAUUCUGACCUUAUCUGCUCUCUUCAGGAACAGAUCCAGGAGACCAGAAAAACUUACCACCCACAGCUACUCUUCAUAAUCAAAGUCAUUGGAUGAAGACAGGCAGCCAUUUCCCCAAGAAAAUGGACGUUUAAUCAGUAUGGGGCUGCAUCUUGUAAGUCUAGCUCAUCAGCUAUCACCUCCUUCUGGGCUCGAGAGAAGAGACAGAAGCCUACAGCACUGCCACCAACUGCCCCGGAUGCAGGGAUUUCAACAGGAAACGGGACCUUUAUAAAUGAAGCACAUUAUGUAUCUCAGUGUGGGGUAAGAAGAGAGAAAAUGAGCUGCAGGUGCUGGAGAAGGGACUGAGGUUCACCUUAGGAAGAACAUCGUGUCAAUAACAUCGAAGCUCUGGAGAAUCUCAUGGAAGGAGCUUCAGGGUUUUGGCCAACAUUCACUCUACCAACAUUUACUGAGGACCUUCUGGGCCUUUCUUGGUUUGUGUCUAAUUCAGUCACAGAGCUAAAUCGGGAAGAUUUCACUCAAAUGCUUCUCUGGAGGGUUUCCCUAACGUGAAGUAUUGCUAUCUCUUUUUUCCCAAUUUUUCUUCUCAUUCUCUGCCACCUAUGAAGGUUCACAGGGCCCAGUCCUGGACUCUGCAAAAAAAAAAAGCUUUAAAAAUCAAGAAUGAUUCUAAAAGGAAAUCUGACCCACCGCACCAGUCAAGAUUUCAGCCUCUUGAUCAAACAGCCACUCAUAAGGCAAUGGCGUGCUGAGAAAAGCAGGCAGUAAUGGUAGCCAGUUCAGAGGUGUGAGGACAUGCUGUGAACUGGUUUAUAUUACCUACCUCCUUUUACUCAACAGAAACUUUCUUCUCUACAGAAAACGGCAAUACCACUACCAUUCUAGGAUUCCUUGUAUCAGGCCUCACCCAACAACUGCUUGGCUGUCUAUCCAGAAUAGUUAAAACAGCCAGUGCCUCAGGGAAUGUCAUAAAAUUUCACUGUAUUCAGUGACGCCCUAUUUAGUGAAUUGCAGAGAACCUAGUCUUCUGCACACCUAGCUAUGAAUCACUGACUCAGUGACCUCCAUUUGGGAUCUGAUUUCCUGAGGUAGUUAAUUUAGCCUUCAUGAGAUGGAGGUACUGAACCUUUCUUAGGGAUGCAUGCCUAAUUUCACAUAACUGUGAAGUUACUUCAGUUGUUUACAUGGCAAUCUUGUGUGAUCUAAGCAACUCUAUUGCUGUCAUUUUAAGACCGUUUGAAACAUCUUAAUAGUCCCAUUUUUUUUCUUUUCCUCUUGCUCAUUUCCAAAUGGAAGGAAUUCUUAUGAGGUAAUAGGGUGGUGGGGAGAAACACAGUUUGCUUUAGCUCCUACUAAUUAUUCCAUGUUAUGCUUGAGUGGAUUAUUUGCAUCCAAUCUCUAUUUGUUAACAUCAGUGGGCUAUGUUUGCAUAACUAGAUCGAAUUAUAAAAGGACUUCCAUUUUGAAUGGUUAACUCUCACAAAAAGAAAGAAAGAAAAGAAAGAAGGAAAAAGAAAGGGAAAAAGAAAGAAAGAAAGAGAGAGAGAAAGAAAGAAAGAAAGAAGGAAAGAAAGAAAGAAAGAAAGAAAGAAAGAAAGAAAGAAAGAAAGAAAGAAAGAAAGAAAGAAAGAAAAGAAAGAAAGGAAGGAAGGAAGAAAGAAGGAAAGAAGGGACCAUAUCCUAAGCUAGAGAUAGCAGCCUUGGGAAACCUGUAUUGGAGGAAAAAAAGAAUCUCUUAAAGUUCAUCACAAAGACUUUCUGGUUUCAAUUUCCUCUCUUCUUUUGAAAUAAGAUCCAGUACCCCAGCCCUCCACCUAGAGUAAAGUAGCUGGGACUUGGCAGGAAGUGGUGUGGCAGACCACCCAAGAAUUAGGGGUAUCUGAUGUGGAAGGGAAAAGUUAAAUGAAAAUCUGAAAAUGAUGUCAAGUAGAUGAGAAUGAAUCAUCAAUACUUAGCUCCCGUUUCUCUCCAGUGAAGAUCCCUGUGCUAGAUCUUCCAGUUAAUCAUCCAGCUAGGAAGGGCUGGGCUAAGUCACUUUCCAGGCCAUACCUCAGCCUCCAGGCAGUGUAAUCGUAACCCUUUCGAAAGACCUCCAACGCAUUCAAGUUUCUCAGGAAUGUUCCUGUUCUAUAAACUCCUCAGGCUGUCUUCUGUCAACACACCUCUUUUCCUUUUACUCACACACAUUUCCUUAUCACCAUCUGAUGUGUUUUGUCCCUUCCAAUAAACUGUGACGUUCUUGAAGCCCAACAAGAGCUCUUGUACCACCUGACUGUCCCCCCUCCACCUCCCAGCCAAUACCUGGACAGAGGGGUAACUUACUUGGUCUAUUAUCACUCUGGAUCAAAGUUCUCUUUUUAAGAUUGCAAGAUUCAGGAGAGCAGGACCUCAAUUAGUGAAAAGUGCAAGUGACUUCCUGCCAGAGUCAGCUUCUACUGGUAGACAUCUGAAGCAACCACACCUGGGGUGUGACUGGAAGGGUUUUAGAAACCUCCUUCCACCCUCACCUUCUGAAAUUCCACCGAGAGACACCUUUUCACUUAAGGUUUUGAUCUUUGUUAAAAUACAGAUUCCCCCGGGAGCAGUAACUUGAUAAGUUAUCUGUGAUUUAGAGUAGAUAAAGGAACUUACUGAACCUGGAGAGAGGAGAGGAGACAGCAGUGGAGGGGAAGUUUGGGUGUCAAUUGGCCCCAUUCACACCAAAAUAUUUCAAUAAUGUGUGAUGGUGGUGUUGAUAUAAAGAAUCAUUCUCCUUCCAAAGGCCCAGCCCCCAACACCUUAUGUAUUGACUGAAGUAUGAAUAAGGAUGGGGACAUUUAGUGAAUGCUUUCUAUGUGCUAGACAGCACUCUAAACACUUAAAUAGUAACUUGUUACACCUCACAACUCCCCGAAGUUGGCCCUGUUAUCCCAGUUUUACAGAUGAGGAAACUGAGGAAGAGAGGGUCCCAAAGUCACACAGACAGAAGGUGGCAGACCCAGGAAAUGAGUAAGAAUGAUUGACACUUUUAAAUAUUCAAGCUUGCCUUUCUCAUCCCUUUCCCAUGUUGACUGCCACCCCUCCCCGAUUUUCAUCCUCCUCCCACCCUUGUCAGUAGAUUUACCUGAGAUAACCCCAAUGAAUCCUCAAUGUGGGAAACAAACAGGCAUCUAAGAAAAUAGAAACAGCGAUCCAGAUAUGGAUGAGUCCUUCCACAAAGAAGUGUUCAAAAAAUGACAACCAAUAUGCUGUCAUUGAUGACGCUUAAAAAAUGUAUAUUGUGAUCCAGUGCUUUAAAAGUACCCAGGGAAUUUUCUAAAUUGCAAUAUGCCCAUUUUGGGUGCUUUCUCCCCAACACUGAGCAAAACAGAGAUACUAACCAUGGCAACCUCUAUAUCACUUGAUACACGUAAAAGGAGCAAAGGCUUCCUGAGAGAGGCGGCCCUGCAUCUGUGUGUGCAUACGCUAUUUCUAAGACGUGUAUAAACUGAAGCACACACAGGACUCACCCAACAACUUCUUUUCCUUGAGGAGGAUGAGUUGAGAAAGUUCAUCUUGUGCAUCAGACUAGAGAAGACAGACUCCUUAUUCAUCUUUAGAUUGGAAAAAUAAAAUACGCGUUGGCUCCCUGGAGUUGGAGGUGGUAGCCCAGUAAUUAGAAGGAGACCAAGCAAGAGGAAAAAAGCAGAUAAACAGCAGAGUGGCGGUGGGACGGCAGCAUGUUUUGCUCCCGAUAGGCAUUCAUGUUUGCAGGGUCUCGUUCAGUGGAAGGGCAUGGGAUUGGAAAGUGGAUUGCUCUGAGGAUGCCCUCACAGUACAGCUCACGGAGUAACAUGACUGGGACACCUAUGCCCCUGCGGACCUCUGAGAAGGAACUCCAGGGACAACCCUGCCACCAAUGGAAGCCGGUUCUUCAGCAGGUGUGGCAAAGCUGAGAUUUGCCUAUGAGGCCAGCACUACUCCAAGGUGCGGCUGGGUUCUUCCUGGGAAUUGCUCUUUCCCAGUCAGCAUCAGAAAUCAGCAGCAGAGUAAUGAUUAGAGAAAUGCAAAUCAAAACUACAAUGAGGUAUCACCUCA